UACGUAGGGGGCAAGCGUUGUCCGGAAUCAUUGGGCGUAAAGCGCGCGUAGGCGGCUCGAUCAGUCUGCUGUAAAAGUCAAAGGCUCAACCUUUGAAUGCCGGUGGAUACUGUCGAGCUAGAGUCCGGAAGAGGCGAGUGGAAUUCCUGGUGUAGCGGUGAAAUGCGCAGAUAUCAGGAAGAACACCCGUGGCGAAGGCGGCUCUCUGGGACGGUACUGACGCUGAGACGCGAAAGCGUGGGGAGCGAACAGG
rnacentral:rRNA from 1 species